CAGCACAACAAUUUAGAGAGUCAGCAAACGGAUUAGAGGGAGGAACUAAAGCUAAGGAACCCAUAAGGUACAAGGAAGAAACUGUCAUUUCUAAUUCUAGACGUAUUUCUAAAACAUACCUAAUUUUUAAUUCUAGCCCAUGGAAGGAAAGGGAAGAAAGUCAAGAUGAAAAUUAAGAUGCCAAAUCUCAGAGAUAGUGGUUUUAAAAUAAUAGUCUUGUUUGCAUUACAACAAAGGGGACCUGAGUGUGUGAAGGGGGAGGCCAGAGCAAACAUGUACUUUGGAGUUGCAAACAAAUCUGCUACAGAGGACUCAUCCUGAGGAAAGAUCAAAGAUAUAUGUCUUCAGGCAAAGAGAAUUCAAACAAACAAAAGCAAAUAAAAAGGUAUCUAGCAAUUUGGUGUUAUUCAACUAAUGGAAAUUCUAGAGAAAAAAAUACAAACUACAUUCAGAGAGAGGAGUUCACCUGGACAACAGCUGAGACCUGACCACACUGUAGCACUGAGAACAGGCUCUAGAACAUGCUCGGUGAUCUCCUGAUUGCCAACUUCUGCACAUUCACAUGCAUCAAGCCAUCAUGAGGGAAAACCUUGGAUGCACACAUAAAAGGCAGACCAUGAAGACACAGGAGAAGAUGGCCAUCUAUUAGCCAGAACAGUGAGGCCUUCACAGGAAAUCAACCCUGACAACAUCUUCAUCUUGGACUUUCAGGCUCCAGAACUGUGAGGACAUAAACUUCUGCCAUUGAAGCUACACAGUCUGUGUACUUUGUUAUGGCAGCCCUAGUGUACACGGUGUAUUCUUGCUGCCUCUGUUACAUUCAUGCCAUUUCUGUCCUUUAUUGUGCCCAUCUUUGCAUGAAAUGUUCCCUUGGUAUCUCUAAUUUUCUUGAAGAGAUCACUAGUCUUUCCCAUUCUGUUCUUUUCUCCUAUUUCUUUGCCUUGUUCCUUUAGGAAGUCUUUGUCUCCCCUUGCUAAACUUUGGAAUGCUGCAUUCAGAUGGGUAUACCUUUCCUUCUCUCCUUCGUCUUUACUUCUCUUCUUUUCUCAACUAUUUGUAAGGCCUUCUCAGACAACCAUCUUGCCUUUUUGCUUUUCUUUUUCACGGGGAUGGUUUUGAUCACCACUUCCCUGUACAAAGUUAUGAACCUCCAUCCAUAGUUCUUCAGGCAGUUUGUCUAUCAGAUCUAAUCCCUUUAAUCUGUUUGUCACUUCCACUGUAUAAUCGUAAGGAAUUUGAUUUAGGUCAUACCCAAAUAGUCUAGUGGUUUUCCCUACUUUCCUCAACUUAAGUCUGAAUUUUGCAAUAAUGAGUUGAUAACCUGAGACACAGUCAGCUCCUGGUCUUGUUUUUGCUGACUGUAUGGAGUUUCUCCUUCUUCAGCUGCAAAGAAUAUAAUCAAUCUGAUCUUGGUACUGACCAUUUGCUGAUGUCCAUGUGUAGAGUCAUCUGUUGUGUUGUUGGAAGAG
ensembl:lncRNA